rnacentral:rRNA from 1 species
AGUGAACGCUGGCGGUAGGUCUAACACAUGCAAGUCGAACGGCAGCACAGUAAGAGCUUGCUCUUACGGGUGGCGAGUGGCGGACGGGUGAGGAAUACAUCGGAAUCUACUUUUUCGUGGGGGAUAACGUAGGGAAACUUACGCUAAUACCGCAUACGACCUACGGGUGAAAGCAGGGGAUCUUCGGACCUUGCGCGAUUGAAUGAGCCGAUGUCGGAUUAGCUAGUUGGCGGGGUAAAGGCCCACCAAGGCGACGAUCCGUAGCUGGUCUGAGAGGAUGAUCAGCCACACUGGAACUGAGACACGGUCCAGACUCCUACGGGAGGCAGCAGUGGGGAAUAUUGGACAAUGGGCGCAAGCCUGAUCCAGCCAUACCGCGUGGGUGAAGAAGGCCUUCGGGUUGUAAAGCCCUUUUGCUGGGAAAGAAAAGCAGCAGGUUAAUACCCCGCUGUUCUGACGGUACCCAAAGAAUAAGCACCGGCUAACUUCGUG